rnacentral:lncRNA from 1 species
UGUUUCCUGGCAGCCCGCUCUGCUUCCUUAGGCCAGACCUGCCCCUGACAUGGGUGAAUAGAAGCCCAGAGCCCAAUGCUCAGGAAAGCCAGGCACUUUCUCUUCCAUGGUAGCUGCUGUGGUAAGGAGUUCCCAAGGAGUGCAGAGUCCCUGCUCAUCACGGAAUGCCCCGAUCAAGAGAUCAGACACAGGAGACAAACGGAAACACAUGCAAGUGGUGAGACAAACGGAAACACGUGCAAGUGGUGAGCUGUGACAGUGGUCAGGUCAGAGUGAUGCUACAAGACACAACAGUAAAGGUGAGGGGUGUGGAGAUGACUGGAGGGACACUUAGAUCCUGUGCUGUCCUGAGUCGACUAGCACAUACUGAUGGUGAGAUGAUGGUGGCACUGAGCAGCCUGCCUUCAUAUACUAUAAGUGAACACAGAGAUGAGCUAAGGGGUAAUGGAGCAAGAGAUUCCCCCCUCCCCCAUUGGGCAUUGGCUGCUGGUAAUGUCCUUGUUCCAACACUCCACGGUGGUGGCCCUGGAAAUCCCUGGUGGAUGAGGAAGCAGAAAGCUUGGGCACUGUGUUAAGAGUUCCCAGCGGGCAUCUGUGGCAGAGAUCAGGUCUCCUCACCUUUUAUAGCCUGGACUUUGGAGCACGCUCAAGUGUUACCAGAAAAUACACUGGACGUUCAUCUAUUGGCCUUCCUCUUCCCUUUCUG